CCUCGGGUGGCAGCAGUGGGGAAUAUUGGACAAUGGGCGAAAGCCUGAUCCAGCCAUGCCGCGUGUGUGAAGAAGGCCUUCGGGUUGUAAAGCACUUUCAGUGGGGAAGAAAGCCUUGGGGCUAAUACCCUCGAGGAAGGACAUCACCCACAGAAGAAGCACCGGCUAACUCCGUGCCAGCAGCCGCGGUAAUACGGAGGGUGCGAGCGUUAAUCGGAAUUACUGGGCGUAAAGCGCGCGUAGGCGGUCUGAUAAGCCGGUUGUGAAAGCCCCGGGCUCAACCUGGGAACGGCAUCCGGAACUGUCAGGCUAGAGUGCAGGAGAGGAAGGUAGAAUUCCCGGUGUAGCGGUGAAAGGCGUAGAGAUCGGGAGGAAUACCAGUGGCGAAGGCGGCCUUCUGGACUGACACUGACGCUGAGGUGCGAAAGCGUGGGUAGCAAACAGGAUUAGAUACCCGGGUAGUC
rnacentral:rRNA from 1 species